UACGUAGGUGGCAAGCGUUGUCCGGAUUUAUUGGGCGUAAAGCGCGCGCAGGCGGUUUCUUAAGUCUGAUGUGAAAGCCCUCGGCUUAACCGAGGAGGGUCAUUGGAGACUGGGAGACUUGAGUGCAGAAGAGGAAAGUGGAAUUCCAAGUGUAGCGGUGAAAUGCGUAGAGAUUUGGAGGAACACCAGUGGCGAAGGCGACUUUCUGGUCUGUAACUGACGCUGAGGCGCGAAAGCGUGGGGAGCAAACAGG
rnacentral:rRNA from 1 species